rnacentral:pre_miRNA from 1 species
UUGUUGGAUUUGAAGACUUCUACUUACAUACAUGGAGAAUUUGAAGACUUCAACCUGCAUAUUUUGAGGAUUUUAAGACUGCAAUU